ensembl:lncRNA
AUGCGCAGCUGAAGAAACACACGCUCGGCCUGUUCUGGGUGCAGCUCUGACUAACCAGCAGGAGAAGGGCUGGAUCGCUGAGAGAUGGGGAGUUUAUGCAGUCGCAGCGGAGAAGAGAGGACACGGCAAACUCCUCCAAUUCCUCAUUAAUGGUCAGUUAUGGAACAAUCAACAAAUCGGUCAUCAUUCGCAAUUUAAUAUGCAUUCAUAAAAAAAUAUUCUGGACAGUGUACAUUGCUUGGUGAUACAAAAUGUAUUUGAGUGACAUUUGAAACUUGUGUGAAUUUUGUUGCAUUAGAUCAAGUGUCUGUAUGUGUGUUUCAAAUGCUGCAGGAUCUUUUCUCGCUUGAAGUCUCAAAAAUUUUUAAUCAGCUAGUGUUUUGAAUUGUGCAUAACAUUUUACAUUUGUGCACUUGGCAGAUACUUAUAUCCAAAGUGGCUCAUAUGGCGUUGCAUUCAAGUUAAAGGGAUAGUUCACCCCAAAAUUAAAAUUUGCUGAAAACAAUAUGCAGUGAAUGGGUGCCAUCAGAAUGAAAGUCCAAACAGCUUAUAAAAAAUACAAAAAUCCACAAGUAAUCCACACCACUCCAGUCCUUCAAUUAAAGUCUUGUGAAGCAAAAAAAGGUGCAUGUUUGUAGGAAACAAAUGCAUCAAGACAUUUUUAACUUUAAACCGUUGCUUCUGGUUAAAAUACUAAAGUCUAUACAGUAUACCAUAAUAAUGUUUUGUUCAGUGAAAAAAAAAAAAUCAACUGAUUUGGACUGAUUUCGCUUGCAAACGGUGUUUGAUCUGUGCAGAUUUCUCUCCUGAUUCAGAAGAGAUUACUUUUUUCACUGGGGGAAGCGUUAUUAUGGAUUAUGUUUUCCUAUUUCAGCCAAUAAGCAGUGGUUUGAAUUGAAUUUUGAAUUUUUUUCCUACAAACCUACAGUUUUUUGCUUCACAAGAUAUUAAUUGAUUGGAUGAUUGUGAUGUUUUUAUCAGCUGUUUGGACUCUCAUUCUGACGGCACCCAUUCACUGCAGAGCAUCCAUUGGUGAACAAGUGAUGGAAUGCUGCAUUUCUCCAAGUCUGAUGAAGAAACAAACUCACCUACAUCUUGGAUGGCCUGAGUGCUGACUUUGUUAGUACGGACCUCUAAAAUCACCUCACCAC